rnacentral:rRNA from 1 species
GAUGAACGCUAGCUACAGGCUUAACACAUGCAAGUCGAGGGGAAACGACAUCGAAGCUUGCUUUUGGUGGGCGUCGACCGGCGCACGGGUGAGUAACGCGUAUCCAACUACCCUUUACUCGGGAACAGCCUUGCGAAAGCAAGAUUAAUGCCCGAUGUUCCGCGUUUGCCGCAUGGCAAAUUCGGCAAAGAUUUAUUGGUAAAGGAUGGCGAUGCGUCCCAUUAGUUAGUUGGCGGGGUAACGGCCCACCAAGACGACGAUGGGUAGGGGUUCUGAGAGGAAGACCCCCCACACUGGAACUGAGACACGGUCCAAACUCCUACGGGAGGCAGCAGUGAGGAAUAUUGGUCAAUGGGCGAGAGCCUGAACCAGCCAAGUAGCGUGCAGGAUGACGGCCCUAUGGGUUGUAAACUGCUUUUAUAAGGGAAUAAAGUGAGUCUCGUGAGACUUUUUGCAUGUACCUUAUGAAUAAGGACCGGCUAAUUCCGUG